rnacentral:rRNA from 1 species
UAGGGAAUCUUCCGCAAUGGACGAAAGUCUGACGGAGCAACGCCGCGUGAGUGAUGAAGGUUUUCGGAUCGUAAAGCUCUGUUGUUAGGGAAGAACAAGUACCGUUCGAAUAGGGCGGUACCUUGACGGUACCUAACCAGAAAGCCACGGCUAACUACGUGCCAGCAGCCGCGGUAAUACGUAGGUGGCAAGCGUUGUCCGGAAUUAUUGGGCGUAAAGGGCUCGCAGGCGGUUUCUUAAGUCUGAUGUGAAAGCCCCCGGCUCAACCGGGGAGGGUCAUUGGAAACUGGGGAACUUGAGUGCAGAAGAGGAGAGUGGAAUUCCACGUGUAGCGGUGAAAUGCGUAGAGAUGUGGAGGAACACCAGUGGCGAAGGCGACUCUCUGGUCUGUAACUGACGCUGAGGAGCGAAAGCGUGGGGAGCGAACAGGAUUAGAUACCCUGGUAGUCCACGCCGUAAACGAUGAGUGCUAAGUGUUAGGGGUUUCCGCCCCUUAGUGCUGCAGCUAACGCAUUAAGCACUCCGCCU